CGUGUAGGCGGAUAUACAUGUCAGAUGUGAAAUCCCUUGGCUCAACUGAGGAAGUGCAUCUGAAACUGCAUAUCUUGAGUACGAUAGAGGAGAGUGGAAUCCCCAGUGUAGAGGUGAAAUUCAUAGAUAUUGGGAAGAACACCGGUGGCGAAGGCGGCUCUCUGGAUCGAUACUGACGCUGAUACGCGAAAGCGUGGGAGCAAACA
rnacentral:rRNA from 1 species